rnacentral:rRNA from 1 species
UGUGGCCAUAUCACCCUGAAAGGCCCUGUCUCAUCUAAUCUUGGAAGUUCAUCAGGACUGGGUCUGAUUAGUACUUGUACUUGCAUGGGAGAAUCUACUCUGAUAGUCUCAUAAA